rnacentral:RNase_P_RNA from 1 species
UUAGAUUACCAGCUAAUCGCUAGUCCUUUCAUAGAUUAGAGGAAAGUCCGGGCAGCAUAGGGAGUGACAGCCGCUAACGGCGGCCGGGGGCGACCCUAGGGAAAGUGCCACAGAAACGAAACAGCCAGCUUGCUGGUUACGAUGAAACGAGUGUCCGCCGUAAGGUGGAUGGGAAUUCUGGCGAACUUGUUCGCGUUAAGUCCCACGGUAAGAGCGCACAACACCCUAUGGUGACAUAGGGAGUAGGUAAACCCUGUCUGCUGCAAGGAGUGAGCUAUACACGUUCCCGCGAUGCUCACGUUUGACCCCGCUCGAGCCUGCGAGCAAUUGCAGGCCUAGAUAGAUGAUUAGCCUCGACAGAACCCGGCUUACAAGUAACCUAACAUA